rnacentral:tRNA from 1 species
GGUUUGGUAGCUCAGUCGGUAAGAGCGCUUGACUGAAGAUCAAGAGGUCGACAGUUCGAUUCUGUCUCAAACCA